CUUUUGCCUGAUAGUGUGUGUCACUCCCAUUGCACCAGGGAAGGAGAAGGAAGGUGCAGGAUGUGCUCAGGCUGUCACAAAACAACUGCAGAGUUUCAGCUCCCUGUUGCAUUAGUCCUUCAAGGACAAGAUACAGUGUUGCCAUGCCAGCUCUAUCUUUGAGAUGGCCUUUCGUACAGAUUUCAUACCUAUCUUUUUUUCUCCUGUGUACAUUUCAGUGGCAUCUGUACAGGUGUAAGUACUGCUCACACAUUACUGUGUGAGUAAUGCUAAGAGGAGGGCUGAGAUGACAUCCAGGAUGGGAGGGAAAGGGGACAGGAAGGUCAGGGCAGUCAGGCCCAGUAAACUUUGAUGGGCUGAUACAUUAUGGCAUCAUUUGGAGUACCGGCUGAAAGGCACAUCGCCUGGAAGCAUCAGGAGAGGGAGAUGCAGCUAGGAAGGCAGCAGAGACACCAGAAGGCACAGGUGAUAGAUCGUUUCUCUUUCAAAAGAAGCCUAUGCAACAGAUCCUGUAAUGUUUCUUAGGGAGUGCAGAAGCACUUUGGCAAUAUGGGGAUUGCCAUUCUGACUGUGUCUUGUGGCAGCUAUCACCACAGACAUGUGACUCCUGGGUGGCAGCUCUCCUGUUCCCUCCAGCAGCUUUUUGUUUGUAUUGGUUCAGCAUUUUUCUCUGUCAGAAGGACCUGGGUCUUGUGACAGAAACUCAUUUUAGCUUGGACCUGUGAGGUGUAUUCCUCAAAGCACGCCUUAAAAAAAAAAAGAAAAGAAAAGAAAA